UACGGAGGGUGCGAGCGUUGUCCGGAAUCAUUGGGCGUAAAGGGCGCGUAGGUGGCCCGGUCAGUCUUUGGUGAAAGCGCGGGGCUCAACCCUGCGUCGGCCAGGGAUACUGCCGCGGCUCGAGCACUGUAGAGGCAGGCGGAAUUCCGGGUGUAGCGGUGGAAUGCGUAGAGAUCGGGAGGAAUACCCAUAGCGAAGGCAGCUCGCUGGGACGGUACUGACGCUGAGGCGCGAAGGCGUGGGGAGCGAACGGG
rnacentral:rRNA from 1 species